rnacentral:rRNA from 1 species
UACGGAGGGUGCAAGCGUUAAUCGGAAUUACUGGGCGUAAAGCGUGCGCAGGCGGUUUGUUAAGUCCGUUGUGAAAGCCCCGAGCUCAACUUGGGAAUUGCAGUGGAUACUGGCAGGCUGGAGUACGGUAGAGGAAGGUGGAAUUCCCGGUGUAGCAGUGAAAUGCGUAGAUAUCGGGAGGAACACCAGUGGCGAAGGCGGCCUUCUGGACCAGUACCGACGCUCAUGCACGAAAGCGUGGGGAGCAAACAGG